UCUGGACCUGGAUGCACAGAUGCACCGGCCCCUCUCCUCCAGGGCCAAGCUUGGCCACAGGAAAUAAAGGUGUCUUCAAAGGGACAGCCCGGAGGGCAUGCACAUAAAGACAAAACACAGGCGCUGCCCAGGGGACAGCUUGGAGCCGGAGAUGCACGCCCUACGUGAUCGCAUUUCUGUGCACGGCAGCACUGUUUGCAAUUACCAAACAUUAGAAGGGACCCAAAUGCCCAACCACAGAACAGAUACAUCACCUGUGUCCUAUUCGUGCUGUGGAAUGAUGAUCACACGGCUGUGAGUAAUCUACAAACACGCAGGGCAACAUGAAUGACACUCGCAAGUGAUUUUGAGGUGCCUGCACCACGGAGGGCCGUGUGAGGAGCCCUCCCAGGACCCGACCACACUGGCACUGUGAUCUUGGGUUUCCCAGUAUCCAGAACUGGGAGAAGUAAGUGUUGCUGAGCUGCCCAGUCUGUGGUAUUCUUGUUAAGGCAGCCUGAGCCCGUUAAGACAAAGGGUCACAUCAGCUCACUGGACCUGGGUAUCCUUAGCUUCCAGAAGGGCAGAGUGUUAGCCCCUCACAGUGCUGUUACAAGAAAUGGGUGCGUUCACCUCGACAAGCGAGCACCGUCUAAAUGGCUGAUGAGCGGUAAUUUUCAACUUCCCAGGGCUGGAGAGGGAAGGGAGGAGGUAUGUGGGGGACUCGGUCACCUGAGACCACUCAGGUCUCACCGCGAUGACAAACAACCACCCAGCUCAUAACUGAGGGCCCGCUGUGUGCCAGGCCCCUUCCAACCUGCCGGGUCCCUUCAGAGAUUGGGCUUGAGCCCUCAACUGAGGCUGCCCUCUGUAUACUGUGGAUGGGGCCAGUGGAGCCUGAGGAGGGGAAGAGAGCAUAGAAGCCAAUGUCCCAAAUGUCCCCCAGUGUCCCUCAGCGGAUGCCUCCUCUGAUCAUUUGUAAAGCUCUCCUUUGUGUUUAAGCAAUAACACUUGCUAAGAUGAACUCUUUAGCAAGACCCCGGUAUUUCAAUUAGUGUGCUCAGUUAUCACCACGUAUUCUGAGCACCUGCUCCGGGCCAGACCUGACUGCAUGUGCUCUCUGGGUGCCAAUUUCCUGGUGAACCUGGGUGUCGUGGAGAGAGCAGAGAGCAUGGGGCAGAGUUCCAGCUCUGCCCCUU